GAUGAACGCUAGCUACAGGCUUAACACAUGCAAGUCGAGGGACCGGCGCACGGGUGAGUAACCCGUAUCCCACCUUCCCUUUACUCGGGGAUAGCCUUUCGAAAGAAAAAUUAAUACCCGAUGUAAAGGAUGGGGAUGCGUUCCAUUAGGUUGUUGGGGAGGUACCGGCUCACCAAGCAUUCGAUGGAUAGGGGUUCUGAGAGGAAGGGCCCCCACAUUGGAACUGAGACACGGUCCAAACUCCUACGGGAGGCAGCAGUGAGGAAUAUUGGUCAAUGGGCGUUAGCCUGAACCAGCCAAGUAGCGUGAAGGAUGAAGGCUUAUGGGUCGUAAACUUCUUUUAUAUAAGAAUAUGUAUUAUAUGAAUAAGGAUCGGCUAACUCCGUGCCAGCAGCCGCGGUAAUAC
rnacentral:rRNA from 1 species